UACGUAGGGUCCGAGCGUUGUCCGGAAUUAUUGGGCGUAAAGAGCUUGUAGGUGGUUUGUCGCGUCUGCUGUGAAAAUCCGAGGCUCAACCUCGGGCCUGCAUUCGAUACGGGCUGACUAGAGUUCGGUAGGGGAGACUGGAAUUCCUGGUGUAGCGGUGGAAAUGACGCAGAUAUCAGGAGGAACACCGGUGGCGAAGGCGGGUCUCUGGGCCGAUACUGACGCUGAGGAGCGAAAGCGUGGGGAGCGAACAGG
rnacentral:rRNA from 1 species